UUGUCCUUAAAUUGUAGGAUAAGACUAGUGUAUGGCGUGAUUGUUUGUCAGCAUGGACUCGGUGGAUACAGGGCCUGCUUCC